GUUUGACCUCAAAUCAGGUAGGAGUACCCGCUGAACUUAAGCAUAUCAUAAGCGAAAAAA
rnacentral:rRNA from 1 species